UACGAAGGGGGCUAGCGUUGUUCGGAAUUACUGGGCGUAAAGCGCACGUAGGCGGAUAUUUAAGUCAGGGGUGAAAUCCCAGAGCUCAACUCUGGAACUGCCUUUGAUACUGGGUAUCUUGAGUAUGGAAGAGGUAAGUGGAAUUGCGAGUGUAGAGGUGAAAUUCGUAGAUAUUCGCAGGAACACCAGUGGCGAAGGCGGCUUACUGGUCCAUAACUGACGCUGAGGUGCGAAAGCGUGGGGAGCAACAGGAGUAAGAUAUCCCAGGACAGUUCCCGACGGUACCAACGACUCUCUGUCGACCC
rnacentral:rRNA from 1 species